AUAAUGUGGGAGACCAAAUCUAUCUAAAAAUUUCUCCUAUUAAAAUCAUACACCCAAUUUUGUGCUAAAAGAUCCAAAUUCAAAGCACAACUACACAAGCCCCCUAACGUAGAUACAACACCACCCAAAAAAUAAUUUUCAUCAAAUAAACAUUAUUGCAACUAGUUUGGGUUUUUAUUAUAUAUUAACCCCAUAGGAGACGUCCAAAUCUUCCUGAAAUUCAUAUAAAUUAAGGUAUAUGGCCUCCAAAGCUAGCACCACAAAUCCACCUGUUGUCUCAAUACCACACUCUUCCUCUCAAAAGCCAUGAAGCCUCAAUUUCUCUUCCUCCUAGUCCUCUCCAUAACCUUCACCAUCAACAGCAAUCUUUUGGUCACUUCCCAAUCAUCAUCCUCACCGGAAACACUGAGAAAGAAACCAGAUAAUGAGACAAUAUACAAGAUCUCAAAGCAACUUUGUUUGGGUUGCAUUGGAGAGUCAAUAGAGUUCCUAUUUGAACAUAACUUAGUAAGGGCAGCAAAAUGGGAGCUUCCAUUGAUGUGGGAUUUUCAGCUGGAGAAAUAUGCGAGAUGGUGGGCUGGACAAAGGAAAGCAGAUUGCAAAGUUGAACAUUCUUUCCCAGAAGGAGAUUUCAAGCUUGGAGAGAAUAUCUAUUGGGGCAGUGGCUCAGAAUGGAGACCAGCUGAUGCUGUUAGUGCUUGGGCUGCUGAAGAGAAGUACUAUACUUAUGCAACAAAUUCAUGUGAGGUGGGUCAAAUGUGUGGGCACUACACUCAAAUUGUAUGGAAGACUACUAGGAGAAUUGGGUGUGCUCGUUCUGUUUGUGAUGAUGGAGAUGUGUUUAUGACUUGUAAUUAUGAUCCUCCAGGUAAUUACGUUGGUGAAAGGCCAUAUUGAAAGGUAGUAUAAUUAGAGUUAAUUGAUUAGGUGGUGUUUUUGGGCGUGAAGUUAGUUACUAGUGUUAUUGAACAAAUAUAAAUGCAUAUGUAGGAUAGGAUUAGGAAGAAAUUAAUGGGAGAAGAUUUGUCAUAAUUAAUGUUUGUGGUUGCUUAAAUAAGAUCCAUAGGUCUAUUUUCCAUUUAAUAAAAUUUGCACUUGCUUAUAAAAAUAAUAAUGAGACAAAGACACGUGAGCGU
rnacentral:misc_RNA from 1 species